rnacentral:misc_RNA from 1 species
UCAAACUUGGUCAUUUAGAGGAAGUAAAAGUCGUAACAAGGUUUCCGUAGGUGAACCUGCGGAAGGAUCAUUACUGAAUUUAACAGCUGAGGUUGUCGCUGGCCGCACCACGGCAUGUGCACACCUUGGUUAUCCAAAUUCUAUUACACCCCUGUGCACUUUUCAUGGGAUAGUUUGAAGCAGUUGGGGUACCCUGUGUAUGCCUUCGGCUCUGUCUGUUCUGUGCUUAAUACAUUUAAACCCCUCGGUAUAGAAUGUGUCUUCGCGUUAAACGCAAUUUUAAUAACUUUCAGCAACGGAUCUCUUGGCUCUCGCAUCGAUGAAGAACGCAGC